rnacentral:rRNA from 1 species
AGCGAACGUUUGCGGCGGGCCUAACACAUGCAAGUCGAACGCACUAGCAAUAGUGAGUGGCGCACGGGUGCGUAACACGUGGGUAAUCAACCCUUCAGCCUGGGAUAACGACUCGAAAGGGUCGCUAAUACCGGAUACGGCGCGAGAGGCUUCGGCUUCUCACGAGAAAGCCACGCAAGGGGGCACUGAAGGACGAGCCUGCGGCCCAUCAGCUAGUUGGUGAGGUAAGAGCUCACCAAGGCUAAGACGGGUAGCUGGUCUGAGAGGAUGAUCAGCCACACUGGAACUGAGACACGGUCCAGACUCCUACGGGAGGCAGCAGUGGGGAAUAUUGCGCAAUGGGCGAAAGCCUGACGCAGCCACGCCGCGUGAGCGAUGAAGGCCUCGGUCGUAAGACUCUGUGGGAGAGACGAAGAAAGACCUGUGAAGAGCAGGCCUUGACGGUA